rnacentral:rRNA from 1 species
UACGUAGGGGGCAAGCGUUGUCCGGAUUUAUUGGGCGUAAAGAGCGUGUAGGCGGUUUGGUAGGUCCGUUGUGAAAACUCGAGGCUCAACCUCGAGACGCCGGUGGAAACCAUCAGGCUAGAGUCCGGAAGAGGAGAGCGGAAUUCCUGGUGUAGCGGUGAAAUGCGCAGAUAUCAGGAAGAACACCCGUGGCUAAGGCGGCUCUCGAGUACGGUACUGACGCUGAGACGCGAAAGCGUGGGGAGCGAACAGG